UGGAAGCCCACAGACACUGUCAUAAUAACAGCCUACACUCAGCACUUACUUGGUGCCAGUCACCGCUGUGGUCACCUAUGCAUCUGACUGCUAACAGAGCCGCUCUUUCAGCAGAUACUAUCAUCCCACUUUGCAGCUGAGGGAGCUUGCACAGCAGGAUGGCUGUUCCGCCCCCACCCCUUCUGAGGGCUUCCCUAGGUGGUCUGUGCAUCAGUGCGCUCAGAUCCAGGCAACUGUGCUCUUCCAUGAACAACAGCAGGGUGCUGCCACACUGCCUGCAAAGACGCCCAAAAAGAAGGGCUUCUUCCCUUCUUUGUGGGGAUGGUUCCAGAGCAUGUCGUCACCCCGACUGAAUGAACUGUCCCGGGGAUGGUUAUAUCAGAUGUUCCCACAGAACCCUCUGGUGUACCCACCAUCCAGUUAAUUACCAGGAGCGGGUUUGCUGGAUCAGAAGACCCAUGUCUGCCACACUGCCCCCUGGUUUAUCCUUCCAGGAGGGCAGGACAUGCCACUGCCUCCAGCCUCACCCACACAGUGUCUCUGUGCAUUUUUGUCCCUCUCCAGUGCCCAUCAUGUCUGACAAAGUUAAAAAAAAAGAUGGGAAAAGUUAUGAAUUUUAAAAUGUCUCUGAAUUUAUCU